AGCUAAGAUGAGUGGGUGGCGUCGCGGCGGUGGCGGCGCUAUAGUCGACGAGAGAUGGUGGCGGUGGUGGCGUUUGCGCUCCUCUGGCCUCGGCCGGGAGUUGUAGUAAGUGCGCGUCGACCGUGACGUCCUCGGCUCCCCUUCUCUUGCUCUCUUGCAGGGUCGAACUCAGUUCUGGCCCUCACUUGCAGACAGCGGGCCCAAGUGUUUAGCCCUGACGAGCCCUGUCAGUGAGCGCGCCGGGGUCCUCUGGGCUAUUCUCUUAACGGGCGACGGCCAACGAUUUUCCUUGCCAAUCUGACGAGCGCCUUGCGCCUGAACGGACCGACAUCAAACGCCAGACUACAUUUUUUGUGUGUGUGAGGGUGGGGGAGACCGUCCCGUCCGCUUCGUCGUCCACUUUCAUCUGUUUUGGGGAACCCUUUUUACUCCGAUUGCUUUUUCUUUCGGUUGGUUGUGACAACGCCAAAGGAAAACAACAAAAAAAGAUUGUUGGUGUGCAAGUUUUGAUUUGAUUUUCCCACCGCUCCCGCUCUCUCUCUCUCUCUUCUUGGCUGGCUGGCUGCCUGCUGAGUUAUUCAUGUGCGGAGUAGACCAGUGUGUGAGUCUGUCUCCAUUGAGAAAAGAAUCCGGCCGCGGGAAGAAUUGUUUUUCGGUGACCACCAAACUGGACCUUUUUUUGGAAGCCACCUGUGUUCAAACAUCUGAAGCACGCUGACUUGACUUGUUCUUAUUAUCCCUGGGAAAAGAUUUGUGUCUGUCGCAAUUAUUAUUUAGUCGACUGCACACAUCACCGAAAGACGGACCCGAAAAAAACUCAAUUCGUCACGGGUGGGCCAACUGAUCGAAACAGGAUUGUACAUGUGUACUACGUAGUGCGCUUGGCAACGUCCGGAAAUCUGUCCGUCCCCAAAAGGUAAGACGAGUUGGAAUCUUAUCUUCUGGAAUGUUGACUUUGAUAUCGACCCUCUCGAACCCAUUAGGAAGGGUGACUAUUGACGGUUUGAAAUCCAUGUUCGAUCUUGUUACCUCUUUUCCCAGAGAAUUUGUAAUGGCUAGCGGGAGAUAUUCUUUCGGAAACCGACGCAAUAUUCGAUGAUGCGAUCGGGUGACGAAAGACUUAAGGAUAUCGAGAGAGAGAGCGAGACGGUAAUCAAACGACUCCAGCGCUCGUUACCGCGUCCCAUCUAGACAGUUUGACAUUGACAUCUCUUGUCACGGCGAAUUGCCCAUUAGGAAGAUCAAAUGAGCCGAUGUAGAGAAGAUUUAUCAUUCAUUAAAUUAUAGCGCUGGGCCCUAAAAUUUAGAUUUAAAAAGGCCGAAUGAGGCAAAAUCAAAUUUUGGUUGUUGAUCUCCGUCAA